UACGUAGGGGGCAAGCGUUGUCCGGAAUCAUUGGGCGUAAAGAGCGCGUAGGCGGCCCUGUAAGUCCGCUGUGAAAGUCAAGGGCUCAACCCUUGAAUGCCGGUGGAUACUGCAGGGCUAGAGUCCGGAAGAGGCGAGUGGAAUUCCUGGUGUAGCGGUGAAAUGCGCAGAUAUCAGGAGGAACACCGAUGGCGAAGGCAGCUCGCUGGGACGGUACUGACGCUCAUGCACGAAAGCGUGGGGAGCAAACAGG
rnacentral:rRNA from 1 species